CGCAAAACUAACCACAAAAAGUCAAGCCGAGGAUAAACUAUAUUCGUUUUUUUUCGAGCUUUUCAUACAUAACUUAACCCAAAAAGCUUAUUAAACGAAUACAAAGUUUUCAAGAUGAAAUCAAACAUGAGUGUUCGUUGUGCCGUGUUAAUUGCAGUUUGUUACUUUAGCCUCAUCAUUUCAUUAGAUGCUAAGGAAGUUCAUGAACAACUUAAACAAGAAC